UACAGAGGUCCCAAGCGUUGUUCGGAAUCACUGGGCGUAAAGGGUGCGUAGGCGGCGCGGAAAGUCAGGGGUGAAAUCCCGGAGCUCAACUCCAGAACUGCCUUUGAUACUCCCGCGCUUGAGAACUGGAGGGGAGACCGGAAUUCACGGUGGAGCAGUGAAAUGCGUGGAUAUCGUGAGGAACACUAGUGGCGAAGGCGGGACUCUGGACAGUAUCUGACGCUGAGGCACGAAGGCCAGGGGAGCGAACGGG
rnacentral:rRNA from 1 species